GACGAACGAGGGAGGCGUGCCUAAUACAUGCAAGUUGAGCGCUGAAGGUUGGUACUUGUACCAACUGGAUGAGCAGCGAACGGGUGAGUAACGCGUGGGGAAUCUGCCUUUGAGCGGGGGACAACAUUUGGAAACGAAUGCUAAUACCGCAUAAAAACUUUAAACACAAGUUUUAAGUUUGAACGAUGCAAUUGCAUCACUCAAAGAUGAUCCCGCGUUGUAUUAGCUAGUUGGUGAGGUAAAGGCUCACCAAGGCGAUGAUACAUAGCCGACCUGAGAGGGUGAUCGGCCACAUUGGGACUGAGACACGGCCCAAACUCCUACGGGAGGCAGCAGUAGGGAAUCUUCGGCAAUGGACGAAAGUCUGACCGAGCAACGCCGCGUGAGUGAAGAAGGUUUUCGGAUCGUAAAACUCUGUUGGUAGAGAAGAACGUUGGUGAGAGUGGAAAGCUCAUCAAGUGACGGUAACUACCCAGAAAGGGACGGCUAACUACGUG
rnacentral:rRNA from 1 species